rnacentral:rRNA from 1 species
GAUGAACGCUGGCGGCGUGCCUAAUACAUGCAAGUCGAGCGAACAGACGAGGAGCUUGCUCCUCUGACGUUAGCGGCGGACGGGUGAGUAACACGUGGAUAACCUACCUAUAAGACUGGGAUAACUUCGGGAAACCGGAGCUAAUACCGGAUAAUAUAUUGAACCGCAUGGUUCAAUAGUAAAAGACGGUUUUGCUGUCACUUAUAGAUGGAUCCGCGCCGCAUUGGCUAGUUGGUAAGGUAACGGGUUACCAAGGCAACGAUGCGUAGCCGACCUGAGAGGGUGAUCGGCCACACUGGAACUGAGACACGGUCCAGACUCCUACGGGAGGCAGCAGUAGGGAAUCUUCCGCAAAGGGCGAAAGCCUGACGGAGCAACGCCGCGUGAGUGAUGAAGGUCUUCGGAUCGUAAAACUCUGUUAUUAGGGAAGAACAAAUGUGUAAGUAACUAUGCACGUCUUGACGGUACCUAAUCAGAGAGCCACGGCUAACUACGUG